rnacentral:rRNA from 1 species
GAUGAACGCUGGCGGCGUGCUUAAUACAUGCAAGUCGAGCGGACGGACGAGAAGUUUGCUUCUUUGAUGUUAGGGGAGGAGGGGUGAGAAACAUGUGGAAAAUGUACCUAUAAGACGGGGAACACUUGGGGAAAGCGGAGAAAAUACGGGAUGAUAUUCUGAUGCGUGGGGUUCAAAGGUGAAAGACGGUGUUGGGGUCAGUACUAGAUGGAUAUGCGCUGCAUUAGCUAGUUGGUAAGGUAACGGCUUACGAAGGCAACGAUGCAUAGCCGAGCGGAGAGGCUGAUCGGCCACACUGGAGCUGAAACACGGUCCUGACUCCUACGGGAGGCAGCAGUAGCGAAUCUUCCGCAGUGGGCGAGAGCCUUACGGAGCAACGCCACGUGUGUUAUGAAGGUCUUCGGAUCGUAAUACUCUGUUAUUAGUUGUAAACAUAUGUGUAAUUAACUGUGCACUUCUUGACGGUACCUAAUCAAGAAGCCACGGCUAACUACGUG